GUUAAAAUACUGGUUACUGUGCGAUCACCGAAGUCAAGCAACGUCAAGCCUGGUCAGUACCUAGAUGGGUGACCGCUUGGCAAUAUCAGGUGUUGUAA